AGUGGCGGACGGGUGAGUAACACGUGAGCAAUCUGCCUUUCAGAGGGGGAUACCGAUUGGAAACGAUCGUUAAUACCGCAUAACAUAAUUGAACCGCAUGAUUUGAUUAUCAAAGAUUUAUCGCUGAAAGAUGAGCUCGCGUCUGAUUAGCUAGUUGGUAAGGUAACGGCUUACCAAGGCGACGAUCAGUAGCCGGACUGAGAGGUUGAUCGGCCACAUUGGGACUGAGACACGGCCCAGACUCCUACGGGAGGCAGCAGUGGGGAAUAUUGCACAAUGGGGGAAACCCUGAUGCAGCGACGCCGCGUGAGCGAUGAAGUAUUUCGGUAUGUAAAGCUCUAUCAGCAGGGAAGAAAAUGACGGUACCUGACUAAGAAGCACCGGCUAAAUACGUGCCAGCAGCCGCGGUAAUACGUAUGGUGCAAGCGUUAUCCGGAUUUACUGGGUGUAAAGGGAGCGUAGACGGAGUGGCAAGUCUGAUGUGAAAACCCGGGGCUCAACCCCGGGACUGCAUUGGAAACUGUCAAUCUAGAGUACCGGAGAGGUAAGCGGAAUUCCUAGUGUAGCGGUGAAAUGCGUAGAUAUUAGGAGGAACACCAGUGGCGAAGGCGGCUUACUGGACGGUAACUGACGUUGAGGCUCGAAAGCGUGGGGAGCAAACAGGAUUAGAUACCCUGGUAGUCCACGCCGUAAACGAUGACUACCUGGGGGGCGGGCAGCAAAGCCUGUUCGGUGCCGCAGCAAACUCAAUAAAGUAGUCCACCGGGGGAUUGCGUUUCGCAAGAAGAAAGCUCAAAAGGAAUUGACGGGGACCCGCACAAGCGGUGGAGCAUGUGGGUUUAAUUCGAAGCAACGCGAAGAACCUUACCAAGUCUUGACAUCCUUCUGACCGGUACUUAACCGUACCUUCUCUUCGGAGCAGGAGCGACAGGUGGUGCAUGGUUGUGGUCAGCUCGUGUCGUGAGAUGUUGGGUUAAGUCCCGCAACGAGCGCAACCCUUAUCUUUAGUAGCCAGCGGUCCGGCCGGGCACUCUAGAGAGACUGCCAGGGAUAACCUGGAGGAAGGCGGGGAUGACGUCAAAUCAUCAUGCCCCUUAUGAGCAGGGCUACACACGUGCUACAAUGGCGUAAACAAAGGGAAGCAGAGUCGUGAGGCCGAGCAAAUCCCAAAAAUAACGUCUCAGUUCGGAUUGUAGUCUGCAACUCGACUACAUGAAGCUGGAAUCGCUAGUAAUCGCGAAUCAGAAUGUCGCGGUGAAUAAAAUCCCGGGUCUUGCACUCGCCGCCCGUCA
rnacentral:rRNA from 1 species